CUCAGCCCUAGGCAGAAAGAGACUUCUGCACGCACAAGCGAAGGGAAGGCAGGAGGCUGGGGGCUUUUCUGGGCCACAUCAGAGACUUUCAGCAAGAAAGGAAUGCCUCUGUUUCUUCAUGUCUACACAGAAGGAUUUAACAAACAGCGACUUUCAAAUUCUGGAUGUGGAUUAAGCUUGUGAGAAACAUCCCAUUUGUUGUAUCAGAACUACUAAGGAUGGCUCCAAGAAACGUGAUGUUGAAGGGAACACCUAAAUAUUUCUUCAAGCUUGUAGGCGGGGAACUGGACUAUUCUUGGGCUCUCUUGAGCAUAUAGAAUUGCACCUGUUUUAAGUUUCCGGGUAAUAAAAACAUUUAUCACCUG
rnacentral:lncRNA from 1 species